UAAGAAACUCGAUUCUCCAGGUGCUGAAUAGGGUGAUGGCGAUUACUCAGGGCCAGCAGAUAGAUGUAUGGGCACUAACAGCCUUUCAGAACCAAGGUCUCUAAAGUGGUCUGGGCAGGGACAUUCAAAAGCCCUGACUAUAAGUGAAGCAGCUAGAGCCCCGGAAAGCUAGGGUGCCUAAACAUGGGCCUGAGAACCCUGCGGCCCAGCUGGGAGGGGGGCGUCGGGGAUCCCCAGGUCAAAGGCGCGGCUGUGGGGGGAUCCCCACGCCGCCUGCACCCCCUCCUUGGCGGCGGUGGCAGGAGAUGGGGGAGGCGAGGCUGCCGAGAGAGCUGACCAUGGACAGCUCCGGCGCGGGCCUGUUUCCAGGGCGAGCCAGCCCGGAUCGAGGAACGUCGCCGGCUGUUCCAGCCAGAAGAUCCCAGGCGGUCGUGGCCCCUUUAACAGAAGACUGACGGACGGCGCUGAGCGGCCAAUGAGAAUUAGCGUCCGUGCCGGCCGGCGACAAGGCCCCGCCUUCGCAUCCAGAGGGAGGGGCCGCGCGGGCGGAGAGGCAAGGGCGGCUCCCGGAAGGAUGUGCUCGGUUGGAAGGUGAGGCUAGUAGCCGAUGGGUAGCGAGUGCCUGGUACUCCGCACCCCUGCGCCCGCCUGGGGAACUGCACGCGGCCCGCCACCCCCGACUCCCACGCAGACGGUGGCACGGCCCACAGGGCUCCCCCAGCGAAUGGUUCGCUCCGCCACGCCUACAGAGGCUGCGCUCAGGCUCCUGCCGCGUUUCAAGACUCCCGCGUCUGA